rnacentral:rRNA from 1 species
UACAGAGGUCCCAAGCGUUACUGAGAAUCACUGGGUUUAAAGGGUGCGUAGGUGGUCCGUUAAGUCAGUUGUGAAAUCCCCGGGCUCAACCCGGGAACUGCUUCUGAUACUGGCGGACUUGAGGCCAGUAGGGGUCACUAGAACUGACGGUGGAGCGGUGAAAUGCGUAGAUAUCGUCAGGAAUGCCGGUGGUGAAGACGGGUGACUGGGCUGGUUCUGACACUGAGGAGCGAAAGCGUGGGGAGCGAACAGG